AUGGUGUGGGCAGUGUAAUAUUGCCUGUUUUUUAAAAAUGAUGAGUGAGCUGCUGAUUUUGGCACUCACUUGCCAACUGUAUGUUGGGAAACUGGCUUGUUGACAUCAUAUUCAUGAUCCAGAAUUAACAUGUGGAAUUGAUGCAUGUGAUAGCAGCAGUCCCAAUAUGCAAUGUAAAUUCCAAGCCGAUAUUUCUGUUGAGAGGGGAGUUCAAAGUAUCAAUGUAAUGUGACACUUCUGCUUAUGUUAAGAAAUUAAUAAGAAUGAGCUUUUCUGUAUUAGUUGCCUACGAGUCAUGUUUAGGUGAUGUUGUUUGUUAUAGUAAACAUCUUAAAACAUGAAAUAGUUUAAAUCCAUUUCAUUGGCCACUGGCAAAUUCUUUUUAUUAAAUUAUCACUUCUACAAUGAUUGUAAUAUUUCUACCCACAGUAAAAGCUCUGCCAUUAAAUUACCAAGUUUUAAAUUUUGAGUGUCUUGUAAUUGCAUUCACAGAAGUUCUUUCUAAAUUACAAUCAGAUUUUCAGGUGAAUUCAUGUUUUUAACAUUUUAAUGUGACUGGUGGGCUUCUUUAUAUAUAAAUUUGUCUUCAUUGAGAUCUGUACUACAAUUUUGAUUUCUCUAGUUGAAUUUUACUGCAUAGGUAUGUCAUAUUAAAAAUCGAUAAAUUUCUCUGAUUGCAGGUUCUGAAAUUAACUGGAAAAAAUUGGGCUAGUUUUUAGUUAUGUAGCCAGAUAAAACUUGAAACUGUUGCCAAGAUGUGCAUGAAUCCUAUGAAAAGGAAAUGGACUGGACAUCAUCUUGCAAAGUGUUGUACAUUUCAUGACCUAUAUGACAGCAUGCAAAGCUGUAAGAUGAUGAUGCAAAUCUGCGUGUAAUUUGAAGCCCUUGCUACUAUUUAACCAAUGUAUUGUCAUAAAUGUGCACAACUGAACACAACAUUAAACGGAAUGAAGAUACACUACUAGCACCAAUUAAAAGAAUUGCGAAAUGAGGAAAAAGUAAGAAGUGCACAUUUAGAUUGUUUGCAGUUUAAGAAAGAAGACACUGUGGGAUGAUGGAGAAAUUGUAAGAAAGAAGGACAAUUGAGUAUGCUGAUAUCCUGAUCAUUUCUCUUUUCUUCUGGAGGUUAAAAUGUGCAGCAAGUGCACUAGCUAUUUGUUACUGUCUCCUAUUGUGCACUGUCUUUUUUCACCAGCAGGGACAUGUCAGUGAGCAUCCUACAGAAUCUUUUGGUGAUAUGGCUGUCAAAAUUUAACACUGCUAAUAUGUGUGAGUUGCAAAUUGCAGCUGUAAUAUUUUGAACAAUGAGUGUGAGGAUGAGAUGAACCAUAUGCCCUGAAGGGUUGAAUACAAAUUAACAGCAAAUGUUGAUAUGUGAGUGUGGAGCAGUGGACUUCUACAGUGAGUAAGACUGGUUGUGUAAUUAAUGGGCUGGAGAUUGACCUUCAUUACAUGGACAACUUGUGUUAAAUUAGUAAACAUCUUCAAGUAGUGUAUCCUUUUUUUUGGAAAUUAUACUUGAGGUCAUGAACUCUGCCAUGAUUUCACUACACUAUCCCCUGAACAUUAUGUUCUGAGGGUCUCCUACCUUCUUAAGAAAAUGGGUUAUUUCUCCAUCACAUAUAAGCAUAUAAAAUGUAGGAGCAGGAGUUAAGCCUUUUGGUCUGACAUUCGUUAUAAUCCUGAUUGAUAUCCAUCAUUUUGAACUAUAGUCACAUUCCUUAGAUCACUUAGUAUUCAAAAAUCUAUCCAUCUCUGUCAUUAAGUUCUCAAGGACUGAGCAUCUAGGAUAGGGAGUUCUAAAGAUUCAUAACCUGUAGAGAGAUUUGUAAAUAAAUCUUACAUUAAAACCUCCAGCGUAUUUUCAGAAAACCUUCAUGCACAUAUCAUGUCCCAUUCAAUAGUAUUUCACAGCAAAACCCCCACCCACAAAUGACUCCAUUAUUUAUUCUGGCUGAUGCAACACCACUCUUUUCAAGAAAUGCAGGCUGUCUUUAGUCACUGAUGUUAUACAGUCUGCUCUUUCAUAUAGUCAAUGAAAAAUAUGGAUAAGAUUGGCUAAUUGCAGCAAUCAAUAGAGCAGAAGGAAGCACCAAUUUAACUUGCUGCUUCCAAUGCGAUAUACAGAUAUUCUGUAAUUCCCAAUCAUGUUUUCUGAUUUUUUUUUUUGUUUCCCCUUGGCUGUGAGCUUUGCUGGCUAUGCCUCAUUGCCCAGAAGAUAGUGAAGAAUCAACAACGUUGCUGUGGGUUUGGAGAUAAAUGUAGAUGUGACCAGAUUGGGAUGAAUCCAUCUGCUGUAAUAGGAGUAAAACUUUAUGAGCCUGAAUGCUGACACAAAGCAAGAAAAUGUACUCUACAGCUACGUAUGUUUGGAGCAGAUAGUCCCUCGUUAAAAGAUUGGUGUAUUAUUGAACAGUGAAAGGAGUUGGCAUAUUUUCAGCAUGCAUUUAUGAAGACCAUUCUCUAUUGAACUGGGGAAAAAGUUUGCAAAUUAAUCUCAAUUUUAAUAUAACUGCACACCUAGGUCUGUGCAUAUUUGGAUUUGGCUUUUAGCUGCAUUUUGUUAUUACUUAGGCUCAAGUUUAACUGACCUCCAUGUCCUAACUGGUGUGCAUUUGGCUCAGGCCCUCACUUUAUACCCUACAUGAUCAGAAAUGUGAACGUAAGUCUAUAUUUUAAAAAUCCUGAUAAAUUUUCUUCUUUUGUUUAAGUACCACUAUUUUGUUUCUCCUCCUGUGCUUGAUUAUGCUGCUCAGCAACUGUUAAAUUUGCUGUAAUCUAAAACAAUUACCUCAACAAAGGGGAAAAGUUACCUCAUGUAGUGGCUGCACCUAAUUUUUUUUAAGAUAGCAACCAUUUUGCAGCAAUUCAACUGUCAAGAACUGGGAGGAAUAAUUGUCUUAAACAUUCUGAAACUACCAACAUAAUGUGAUUUGCACAUUGUUAGCUAAAUUAUUAAUUGUGCUUAUUUGGAACAGAAAUAAGCACAAUUAAGCUUAGUAAAAACAGUGCUCUCUUGAUAGGGUAGCCUGAUAAGUAGAGACAUUAAGGUUUUCUAUUUUAUGACUAGAAACAAUCAUUGGAGCAAUGAAAUACUGCACAGAAAUUUCUCAGUCUGAUUGUCAAACAUAGAUAUUGGAAUUAAAAACAAAAUCUUCCAUCCUCUGUAGAGAAUGGAUAUGGAAAAUAAUUGAAAUUCAAUUGGCUGUUGAUUGUCUUACUGGUCUUAGAGUAAUAGGAAUGUUAUUUGAAAAAAGGCAGCAGUUCAGCAGCCACAACGACAAUAGAAAUAGUGUACAAAAUGAGGGAAAAAUGAAAACUGCUUAAAUAAGAAUAGGAAAGACAAGAAAGAUAACAUGGAAUAAAAGAAGUAUAGCAGAAGCAUUGUAUACUAAUAUCGAAUAUGUAGUAUUUACUUCUGUCAAAUUAUUUCCUUAUUGUUCUGCUUCUGAGUCUGUUCAAUUAACUAUAGUGUUCCAUAGCUUUGAUAUAAUUGUGUUUGGUCUGAAGGAUGAAUAAGAGUGCAAGGUUGUUUUGCAGUUAGUGUGAAAACAUAGGAAACAUUCAGAAUAAAACACAAAAUAGCAGAUACAUUCUGAGGAAAUACCUGAGGCCUAUAUGACUAAAACAUGUUUUCUUUUUUCUCUUACAAAGGUUGUCAUAAGAUGACACACCUAAGCAACCUGACAGUUUGGUCUCCUCCCAUAUGUAUUGAGGACGUGCAAUUGAUAUAUGCAUAAUAAAUACUAUUUACAUCAGUUUGCAACAGAGCAAACAGGUUUUCCUUGGGAAGCAAGGAAUGAAAUAAUUUUUUAUACAUCACCAUUCAUGAUAUUUCAAAACAUUUCACUGCCAAUUAAAAGCUUUUGAAUUAUAAUGUGGGGAAACAUGCAACAAACAUGCACACAAGGUCAAACAACCAGUAAUUUACUCAUACCUAGAUGUUGAUUGAAGAAUAAAUAAUGGCUAAGGCACUAUUUUUUUUAAUAGUACCAUUGGACCUUUUGUAUCCACAUUAGAAGCCAGACAGGACUUUGAGUUAGCGAUUCAUUUGACAGAAACCACCACCAACUGUGCAGUACUCCCUCAUUUUAGUCUGAAGUAUUGACAGAGGUUAUAUACUUAUGUCGCUAGAGUAGAAUUUGAACCCAUAUCAUUGAACUGAAAGAUAAGAGGAGCCACCUGGGUUGAUACACGAGCAAAACAAAUUUCAGGUAAUGAGGUGUGCAUCAGUAUUAAAGUUUACUCCCCCUGAACAUUGGCCGUUACAUAGAUUAGAUUAGAUUAGAUUACUUAGUGUGGAAACAGGCCCUUCGGCCCAACAAGUCCACACCGACGCGUA